rnacentral:rRNA from 1 species
GAUGAACGCUAGCUACAGGCUUAACACAUGCAAGUCGAGGGGCAGCAUUCCGCUAGCAAUAGUGGAGAUGGCGACCGGCGCACGGGUGAGUAACGCGUAUCCAACCUGCCUUAUACUCUUGGAUAGCCUUCUGAAAGGGAGAUUAAUACAAGAUAGUAUCAUGAGUGAGCAUUCUCGCAUGAUUAAAGGUUUACCGGUAUAAGAUGGGGAUGCGUUCCAUUAGAUAGUAGGCGGGGUAACGGCCCACCUAGUCUUCGAUGGAUAGGGGUUCUGAGAGGAAGGUCCCCCACAUUGGAACUGAGACACGGUCCAAACUCCUACGGGAGGCAGCAGUGAGGAAUAUUGGUCAAUGGGCGGUAGCCUGAACCAGCCAAGUAGCGUGAAGGAUGAAGGUUCUAUGGAUUGUAAACUUCUUUUAUAAAGGAAUAAAGUGAGGCACGUGUGCCUUUU